AGGUGAAGGCAGACAGGCUCUGUUGAGUCACUGGUCACUUGUCACAGUUCCACCAGUCAUGGUUUCCUCAGCAUUCAUCCUGUGGGGUGUCACUGAAGGAUCCACAGAAGAGGCUGUUACUUGUACUGUCGUCGCUCUGCUGAGUAUCCUGAUGUUGUUUUUUAUGGACACAGAACAAUUAUUUCCAGAUGUAUCAGGCACUAAUAUAUAUCUGGCUCGGAGAAUAGGAAGCACCAUCAUCAUCAUAGCUGUAUUCACAGGUAAGUUUAAAUAUCAUUAAUGUAUAUGAAACAUCAGCAGUAAAUCAGGAGAAAGUAGCAGAUUCUGGUAAAAUA